rnacentral:rRNA from 1 species
CGCUGGCGGCGUGCUUAACACAUGCAAGUUGAACGUGAUUUUAUAGACAGAUUUCUUCGGAAUGACGAUUAUAAAUGAAAGUAGCGAACGGGUGAGUAACACGUGAGAAACCUGCCUUUCACAAAGGGAUAGCCUCGGGAAACCGGGAUUAAUACCUUAUGAUACAUAGAAAUCGCAUGAUAACUAUGUUAAAGAUUUUAUCGGUGAAAGAUGGUCUCGCGUCUGAUUAGCUAGUUGGUGGGGUAAAGGCCUACCAAGGCGAUGAUCAGUAGCCGGAUUGAGAGGUUGAACGGCCACACUGGAACUGAGACACGGUCCAGACUCCUACGGGAGGCAGCAGUGGGGAAUUUUGCACAAUGGGGGAAACCCUGAUGCAGCGACGCCGCGUGUACGAUGAAGAUCUUCGGAUUGUAAAGUACUGUCCUUGGUGAAGAUAAUGACUGUAACCAAGAAGCAAGCCCUGGCUAAAUAC